rnacentral:rRNA from 1 species
UGGCGUCUUCGGCGUCCGCGUUGUAAUCUCGAGACGUGUUUUCCGUGCGGCUCUAUGGACAAGUCCCUUGGAACAGGGCAUCGUAGAGGGUGAAAAUCCCGUACUUGCCAUGGAAGUACCGUGCUUUGUGAUACACGCUCCAAGAGUCGAGUAGUUUGGGAUUGCUGCUCAAAGUGGGUGGUAGACUCCAUCUAAAGCUAAAUAUCGGGGAGAGACCGAUAGCGAACAAGUACCGUGAGGGAAAGAUGAAAAGCACUUUGGAAAGAGAGUUAAAAGUACGUGAAAUUGUCGAAAGGGAAGCACUUGAAGUCAGCCAUGCUGCUUGAGACUCAGCCUGGCUUUUGCUUGGUGUAUUUCUCGGUAGCAAGCCAGCAUUGGUUUGUGUCGUCGGAGAAGCGUAUGGGGAAUGUGGCAUCCUCGGAUGUGUUAUAGCCCUGUGCAGGAUACGACGACGUAGACCAAGGAACGCAGUGUGCCCUCUGGGCG